CCUACGGGAGGCAGCAGUGAGGAAUAUUGGUCAAUGGCCGAGAGGCUGAACCAGCCAAGUCGCGUGAGGGAAGACGGCCCUACGGGUUGUAAACCUCUUUUGUCGGGGAGCAAAGCGAACCACGUGUGGUUCAUUGAGAGUACCCGAAGAAACAGCAUCGGCUAACUCCGUGCCAGCAGCCGCGGUAAUACGGAGGAUGCGAGCGUUAUCCGGAUUUAUUGGGUUUAAAGGGUGCGCAGGCGGAGGUGCAAGUCAGCGGUCAAAUUGCGGGGCUCAACCCCGUACUGCCGUUGAAACUGCAUCACCUGAGUGCGCGAUAAGUAUGCGGAAGGCGUGGUGUAGCGGUGAAAUGC
rnacentral:rRNA from 1 species